AGUGAACGCUGGCGGUAGGCUUAACACAUGCAAGUCGAACGGCAGCACAGUAAGAGCUUGCUCUUAUGGGUGGCGGGUGGCGGACGGGAGAGGAAUAUAUCGGAAUCUACUUUUUCGUGGGGGAUCACGUAGGGAAACUUACGAUCAUAUCGCAUAUGACCUACGGGUGAAAGCAGGGGAUCUUCGGAGCCUGCGCGUGUGAAUGAGCCGGUGGCUGAUUAGUUAGUUGGUGGGGUAGAGGCCCACAAAGGCGAUGAUGGGUAGCUGGCCUGAGAGGGUGACCGGCCACAUUGGGACUGAGAUACGGCCCAGACUGCUACGGGAGGCAGCAGUGGGGAAUAUUGCACAAUGGGCGGAAGACUGAUGCAGCAACGCCGCGUGCGGGAUGACGGCCUUCGGGUGGUAAACAGCUUUCGCCUGUGACGAAGCGUGAGUGACGGUAAUGGGGAAAGAAGCACCGGCUAACUACGU
rnacentral:rRNA from 1 species